GCGGGCUACGGAGUAGAGACUGGGGGCGGGGGGCCAGCCGAGACUCGGUUUUAGCAGAUGCACGAGGGACCCUCCCAAGGAAAGGCUCUGUCGGGAUUUCCCCCACCCACUCAUUUUAUUUGGCGGGGAGGAGGCGCGAUAAUGAUGCUUAUUAUCGCUGCUUUUUUUGCUCUAACUUUGCACAUUGUAACAUCCCUUCAGUGAGGAAGACGCCGAUCCCCUCUAGGAUACUCAUCUGAAACACACACCUAUGCCUACAUUUAGAGCUGCAAAUGCGAAGGAAGGGAGUGUUCUGCCCCAUCGCCCCCCACCCCCAACUUCAAGAAACUAUCUCUUUUAGGAGGUGUGAACUAUGCAAAUUAUCUUCAGGGCGAUUGGCUGGCUUGCUGAUGACGUCAAAAUCCCACCACCAAAGCACAGGCUUUUUAUUGGCUGUUGUAAGAGGCAGGCAGGACUGGGAAUGCUCUGCAUCACUGCUUCCCUAAGACUUGCAUAGGGAACCCAAAGUCUGUCUCACUCCUGGGACUAAUCAAUCUCCGAUCUGUAAUACGAAAAGCUGGACGUCCCUGCUUCUCCUUGCAGACACAGGAAUGGAGAGCGACAGUCUGAAUCAAGAAGAAAUGUCAGUUGCUUGAAAAACCUUCUGCUGAUCUUGUGACUGCAAAGAGAAAAAGACAACUUUAUCAAGGAAACCUCUCCUGGGAAAGAGGAAUCACACUAUCUCAUGGUGGUUCACAGAUCGGCAGCAUUGUCCUGGGAGCGUCACCCAAACAUCACCUGGGAGCUUGUCAUAAAUGUGGAAUCCCGAGCCCCCACCCCACGCCUACUGAAUCAGCAGCAUAUUUUAACAAAAUGCCUGCAUGAUUCUUCUGCACAUGAAAGUCUGAGAAGCACUGCUCUGCAACACGACCAGCAACAUACAGAAUAAGCAGACAAGGGAGCAAGAUGGUCUGGAACAGGGAUUCUUAAAACAAGUUCCCUUGGAAAUCAGUUUGAGAUGGAAGAAGGUAUGUUCUGCUGUUCAACUUGAUAAUGGGGCUCUUCUCCCAAUUAAGUUAACGAAUUAUAUUUUCUCAUCUUCCAAAAUUCUUCCUGUCUUCUUUGGCAUUGAAUAUCACUUGCCUGUUAGUAACUUUAGAAGAUGACAACAAUUGAACAGUAGUAAAGUAGUAAAGAAAACUCAGAAACAUUGUUUAAUUGUUUGUAGUAUUUUUUUCCCCUUAAUUUGUGGGGUUUUUUAAUUCUUGGGAUAUGUGAUUGUGAUUUUACGUUGCAUAAUAGAGAACAGUCAUCGUUUCUCUUAGUAAACUUGUUCCUAAUGCAUGUUACAGAAUUAGAUGUUAAUGUCUUUUGGUGUUCCACAAAAAGCGCCUGAUUCCCACCUAUAAAAACAUCAGGUUCAAGGCUUCAGAAUCGCUCUAGAAAUCAUCUAACCAAGAGGAACUUGCCAUGGAAAAGUAAAGUUAGAAAGAGUUACACAUUUCUCACCUGUUCCUCUUCCUCCAAAGGAGAUAAACAUUAAUAGCUACAAAUAUAACCCACUGAGUCUUUCUGGAUAGAAAUAUGAGUGUUUUUUUAUGUUCUCCUUUGUGUUUUUCUGAAUAUUCCAAAAUAUUUCCAGUGAACAUUCAUUCAUCCAACAAAUAUCUAAUGAAAACUUACUAAGUGACAGGCACUGUUUUGGGUGGUAGAGACAGCAAUGAACAAGCCAGAUAAAAAUUUCUCUUCUGGAUUAGUGAUUGCCAGAGGCUGGGGUGAGGGUGAG